UGCUGGAGGCGGUCUCCGGUCUCCAUCCUGCGAUCCCAAAGCGGCUGGUUGUGGCAGGUGGCGCGCGGUACCGGCUCCGGAGGGCCAUGGUCUAGGACCACGCCGAGGAGCUGCCGGCGUGGGUGACGGAGGCCAAGAGGUGCGGGUGGCAGAGGCCGCGCCGCGAGGAGCUGCGGCAAAGGCGCGAGAGGGCGCAGGGGCGGCGGAGGGAGGCGGAGCAGUGGCCGGCGGAGCUGUAGAGCGGGAGGAGGCAGGAGCGUAGGAAGGGGCUGCCCGUUAAGGGGAGGCGCAGGCGCGAGGAGGCGGAGGCGCCACCGUUCCCGCCCAAGCCGAGGGAGGAGGCACCCCGGCGGAGGUUCCGGCCGGUCUUCUUCUGGUCGUUGAAGCUGCGAACGGCGCUGUAUUUGCCGGCGGCCGAGGCGGUGCAGUUGCGCCUCGCGGCGGAGCUCCUCACCUCCCGGCUCCGGCGUCUAGCAGUCGAGCUCUUUGAACGGCUCCUGAAGGAGUUCUUCUUCCGGUUUCUCAGUCCGGCGCCGCCGCGGGCUCGACGGCUCCAACUGUUCAUAGAACUCUUCAUGGCUUUCCUACGGCUCUCGACGCAGUUGCGGCACCUCCUCAGCCAUGCACGGAGGGAACCCUUCUCCUUCCGACAGGGGUUCGGUGCACUACGUUUCUUCGAAUUUUAAACCUACCCGUUUUUCUUUCAUCGUCUACUACUCUCACUAUCACUGUCACUGUCACUACACCUGCUAUUACUCCCCCGUCUACGUUUUGGGUAUCGAGAACUAGUACCCUUAAUGAGUUUACUUAGGUUGUUUUCACUCCUCCUUUUCCAACUAGACCGAAGUCAAAGACCCAGUGUAAGUCUUCCUCUCAGGAGUCCACUCUUCAGGGUCUCGUCACUAAGUCUCCUUUUACCUUUACGAGAAGUCCUUAGGUACCUUCAUUUCUAAUCUAGUCCUACACUAAAACUCAGUGUUCCAUCAAACCUCACACUCCCCCCUUGCCGUCAAGUCGGACGAGGACUCUUGUGAAGACUUUUGCCUUGAAGACUCUAACCAUUCUCACGAGAAAGUCUUCUUCAAGACUUUAGUCUACGAGGACUCUUGUGAAGACUUUUACCUUGAAGACUCUUACCCCUUCUUAGACGACUACAUUUAUUGUUCAGAGAAGAAAGUCUCCUCGGACACCUGGACCGUUGUAAGUCAAGUCGUCGUCUUAACCUCCGUGAACCGUACCUCUUCGAUUUCGACCUCGAGGUCUGAGUACCUGAUUUUACGCCACCGUGAAAUUUUCUCGCGCGCCGGUCUGACAAGGAAGACUUUUGUUGGGGUCACCUAUUUGAUGGUUUCUUCGACGAACGCUUUGGGUUGAGACCUCCCUUCACUCUACAUCAUCGUUUAUUGCUAAUGAUAGGGUUCUUUUGUUUAAUGCUACAGUUCAAGUAGACAUUAUGACAUGAACAACAUUACACUAGUCUUUCGAAAACGGAACUGUGACUUUUGAUUGCUUUAGAGACAUACAUAAUACGGCAAGGAACG
rnacentral:rRNA from 1 species